rnacentral:rRNA from 1 species
AAGUAGACCGCCUGGGGAGUACGGCCGCAAGGUUAAAACUCAAAUGAAUUGACGGGGGCCCGCACAAGCGGUGGAGCAUGUGGUUUAAUUCGAUGCAACGCGAAGAACCUUACCUGGUCUUGACAUCCACGGAAGAAUCCAGAGAUGGAUUUGUGCCUUCGGGAACCGUGAGACAGGUGCUGCAUGGCUGUCGUCAGCUCGUGUUGUGAAAUGUUGGGUUAAGUCCCGCAACGAGCGCAACCCUUAUCCUUUGUUGCCAGCGGUCCGGCCGGGAACUCAAAGGAGACUGCCAGUGAUAAACUGGAGGAAGGUGGGGAUGACGUCAAGUCAUCAUGGCCCUUACGACCAGGGCUACACACGUGCUACAAUGGCGCAUACAAAGAGAAGCGACCUCGCGAGAGCA